rnacentral:rRNA from 1 species
UGGGGAAUUUUGGACAAUGGGGGGAAACCCUGAUCCAGCCAUCCCGCGUGUGCGAUGAAGGCCUUCGGGUUGUAAAGCACUUUUGGCAGGAAAGAAACGUCGCGGGUUAAUACCCCGCGAAACUGACGGUACCUGCAGAAUAAGCACCGGCUAACUACGUGCCAGCAGCCGCGGUAAUACGUAGGGUGCAAGCGUUAAUCGGAAUUACUGGGCGUAAAGCGUGCGCAGGCGGUUCGGAAAGAAAGAUGUGAAAUCCCAGAGCUUAACUUUGGAACUGCAUUUUUAACUACCGGGCUAGAGUGUGUCAGAGGGAGGUGGAAUUCCGCGUGUAGCAGUGAAAUGCGUAGAUAUGCGGAGGAACACCGAUGGCGAAGGCAGCCUCCUGGGAUAACACUGACGCUCAUGCACGAAAGCGUGGGGAGCAAACAGGAUUAGAUACCCUGGUAGUCCACGCCCUAAACGAUGUCAACUAGCUGUUGGGGCCUUCGGGCCUUGGUAGCGCAGCUAACGCGUGAAGUUGACCGCCUGGGGAGUACGGUCGCAAGAUUAAAACUCAAAUGAAUUGACGGGGGUCAUAGCUG